GCUGCGCGCUCCAUACUCCGCUUAAAGCGUGUGCACAGCCCCCGUAGACAUGAACAAAACAUUUUUCGGCAUGCAAACGCUCUGUCAGGUUGGAUUGAUGACCCCGAGUGAUGAUGCGUUGCCAGGAUACCAGAUCGCCCUCCCCUUUUGGCCUCGACACCCAAGGCUGUUUGAAUGAGAUGAUAAGCAUGUGGAGGACCAGAGUCCCCCAGCAGGAAAAAAGUGCCUUGUGGGCGCUCGGCCUGGGAUGACAACAAGUGAAUAAAUGAAUGAAUCACACAGCCAGUGAAAAUGAAGCGGAUCAUUUUUCCAGCCUCAGUGCAUUGGCACGUGCACGUCUGUUUUCCAGACUGGAAGGGGGUCCACACCAUAGAACAGUGGCAUGAACGGAAAUGUGCCGAGGGCCAAUAAAAAAAGCAGUCGCGGGCCAUAAAUGGCCCCCGGGCCGCACUUUGGACAACCCUGGCCUAAUGGGCCAGCCGGCUCUGCGGAGACAUCUUCUACCGCUUAUCCGAGGCCGGGUCGUGGGGGCAGCAGCCCAGACUUCCCCUCCCCGGCAGAUCCUGAGGCGUUUCCAGGCCAGCUGAGAGACAUCGUCUCUCCCACAUGUCCUGAGUCUUCUUCCCCGAGGCCCCCGACCGGUCGGACGUGCCCUGAACACCUCCCCAGGAAGGCGGCGGUGGGUCGAUAUCA